rnacentral:rRNA from 1 species
AUCGACGGGGAGGUUUGGCACCUCGAUGUCGGCUCAUCGCAUCCUGGGGCUGUAGUCGGUCCCAAGGGUUGGGCUGUUCGCCCAUUAAAGCGGUACGCGAGCUGGGUUCAGAACGUCGUGAGACAGUUCGGUCCCUAUCCGUCGCGGGCGCAGGAAAUUUGAGAGGAGCUGUCCUUAGUACGAGAGGACCGGGAUGGACGCACCGCUGGUGUACCAGUUGUUCUGCCAAGGGCAUCGCUGGGUAGCUAUGUGCGGACGGGAUAAGUGCUGAAAGCAUCUAAGCAUGAAGCCCCCCUCAAGAUGAGAUUUCCCAUUCCGCAAGGAAGUAAGAUCCCUGAAAGAUGAUCAGGUUGAUAGGUCUGAGGUGGAAGCGUGGUGACACGUGGAGCUGACAGAUACUAAUAGAUCGAGGACUUAACCUAU